rnacentral:rRNA from 1 species
AGUGAACGCUAGCGGCGUGGAUUAGGCAUGCAAGUCGAGCGCGAAAGCAUGACAAACGAUUCCUUCGGGAUGAGUGCGUCGGCGAGUAGAGCGGCGCAAGGGUGAGUAAUGCAUGGCUGACGUGCCUUCAGCACUGGAAUAACCACUGGAAACGGUGGCUAAUGCCAGAUAGCCCCAUAGGAUCGCAUGGUCCAAUGGGUAAAGGUGGGGAUCCUUCGGGACCCUCUGGCUGAAGAGCGGGUCAUGUGCUAUCAGCUUGUUGGUGAGGUAACGGCUCACCAAGGCUAAGACGGCUAGGCGGUCUGAGAGGAUGACCGCCCACAUCGGGACUGAGACACUGCCCGG